rnacentral:lncRNA from 1 species
UGUUGUAUGCUUGUUAAAUGCUUGCUAGAACAUUGCCAAAACCUUAAUGUUGCAUGAUGAAGUUCUUACCAUGUCAUUGUGUAUUGUUGCUUGAUUUUGUUUAUGAUGCUUACAUGAUGAUGAAUGCUGUCUGCUUGCUGAAUGCCAUGGUGUUGUUUGGUUGCUUUUCGAAUGUCGAAAUGCUAUGCUGUUGCGUUUAAAUCAUAAGCUUG